rnacentral:rRNA from 1 species
GACCUGGCUGGGCGGUCCGCUUAACGGCGUGUACUGUCUGGCUGGGUCUUACCUCCUGGUGAGCCGGUGUGCCCUUUAUUGGUGUGCGCCGGGGAACCAGGACCUUUACCUUGAGAAAAUUAGAGUGUUCAAAGCAGGCAAUACGCCCGAAUACAUUAGCAUGGAAUAACGAAAUAGGACGUGCGGUUCUAUUUUGUUGGUUUCUAGAGUCGCCGUA